CGCGGGUAGGACAACCGGUAAGUUGCCGGCCUCAUAAGCCGGAGAAGAGGGUCCGAUUCCCUCACCCGCCACCA
rnacentral:tRNA from 1 species